UCUGGGCAUGGCCAUGUGACUGACUUAGGCCAAUAGAAUGUAGCAGAAGUGAUAUCAUGUCAAUUCUGAGCCUAGGCCUCAAGAGACCUUGCAGUUUCCACUCUCUCUUGGUCUCCUGCCUCUACCAUAAGAACAAACCCAAGCUAACCUACUGGAGAAGGAGAGACCAUGUGAUGCACAAAUAAACUGUCCUAGACCCAUCUCUCCCAGCUGACCACAGCUAAGGGUAGCUGGAGAGCAGAAAAGCCAAGGUGAGAGGAGGCAGCAGCGCUGAGGUGCAAGGAGUGGAGCAAGAAGCCAAGUUUGGCUAAGCAUUUGGGGCCUUAAGAAAUGGGAUCUGACCAGAGUGGGGCCCUGAGGUCAUGUGACCUUAGAAGUGGAAGAUGUGUUGAUCGCUUGAUCACCAAGACCUCCCACCCACUACUCCUCACCACAUAAGUAAAACAGCAGGGCCCACAUUUGGCAGUAAGAUUAAAAUUUGGUACAACCUCUAAGGAGAGUGAUUUGGCAACGACCAUGAAAAUCAUAAAUGCUCAAACCCUGUUGAUACAUUUUCCUUGGCAUCCUAAAGAAAAAAUGCAUAUGACUCCAUGCAGAUACAUGUACCAAAUGUGCACUGUAGCUGGUAAGCACAAAAGACUGGGAACAACCAAAUGUCCAUCAAUAGGAGAGCAUGCAUUAUCGGGGAAUACUGUGCAGUCAUGAGAAAGAAUGACAGUAAUCUCCAGGACACCUUGAAGUGAAGAAAGCAAGAAGCCUGAAGAGUCCAUCUACCCUGAAUCCUCCCUUUUACAAAAGGGAAGCCAAAGACCCAGAGUGAGGAUUGAGUGGCAGAAAGCCCCGCCUCUACUGCUCAGAGGCAAGUUCAAUACCAGGACUGUGACUGCCUGACUCCCAGACCAGAGGUCCCUCCUCUGCACCACAGCUUCCACUCUGGUUAGAUGUGGCCAGGAGCCCAUAACCCUCCCACACCCCCUGCCUCCCACAAUCCCAGUACUCAGUGACUCAGAGACAGACGUCUCUUCUACUGUCAAAUCCAGAUUCUCAGUAUCAUUGCUUCACUUCAUUUCUUCCUGCCCUGUCCUCAGCUAAACUAAGGAAGAGGCAUCACCUCUUUACCUGCAGAUAGGCCAAACCGCAAAGGAUCCCUUGAGCUCCUUCUUUCUCUCUUUCUGGGAAGAUCAUGUCAGUCACAUGGGGCUUGUUUGUUCUAGAUCACCAUGGCUGCUCCCAGGACAGCAUCUGUCCUGGUCAGGGUAUCUCAUAUUGCUGUUUCCCUUUUAUCUUCUGAAGAGGAAAAUAAAUUUGCAGACUAUC